GUGAUUUGGUGGAACGUUUUAUUGUGGAUCAAACUCCGCAUUAAAAUUGUUUUUGAAACUUGGCGGAGAUGAUUAAAAUUGGGCGAGGACAAGUCGGGUAAAUGUUGGAAUAUUUGGAGAGGCAAUUAAAGAGACGUACAGUAUAGAAAACGAGCAUUUGAACUCUGGUAUAGAGAUAGACAAGAACGUUCUAGCAAAUCGGAUCUGGUUGAGAUCCAUGUGGGACCUGCUACAGAUCUUGAUCAUGAAUAUUUCAAUCAUAAGAAGACGUACGGUGAUGGUUAAUCUUUGGGUACAUGCUGAACGCAAUGAAAUUUCAAGCAAUCGCUUCACGGAUCCGGAAAACAAUGAAUAUUAAUUCCCAUAAUGCAAGGGUUAGUUUUCAUUUGACCAAUCGGUUGUAGACGAAAUUCAAUCUAAAGUCAGCAGUUGUACAGAAAGCAACGACCAGAGUACACUUCCUGACAAAAUAGAUGUCGUCUGUACGGACGUUGAAGGCAUUUUCUAUCCAAAUCUUCACUGAUUCAGUGUAAGUGUGGUUCAUGUGGGACCAGGAAGCAAACUCCAUCCGAAUGGGAACGACAUACUGGUUCCAGAGCAAAAAAAGUGGAAAGUCAGCAUUAAACUCAAAGAUUUGAUGUUACCGCCAGAAAAAUACGUUUGUUUUUCAUCUCAUCUACUUUGAUUAAACUUGCAGAUUAUAAAAUUGAUUAUUACGCUAAGGCUCUUUUCGAAUCAACUAGAUGAACAACAACUGUUUUCGUUUAUUCAAGAGAAGUAUGAAUCUGUUUAUGCAAAGUGGACAACCGAACGAUGUGCAAUUUGUAGAUGGGAUGAAGAUUAUGAUGAUAACAAAAUCAUUAUCUACAACAUGUCCUUUUAUAAGUUUAUUCUUUUCGGUAUGUAAUGCAACAAUAUGUAAACAGUUUACCUAUUAAUAUAAGUUCCUUCUCAUCAGAUGUCAAAUCCAUGUUCAUCAAGAAUGCUAUGGAGUUAGAGAUAUGAAUGAUUUCACAUCUUGGGUUUGUCGGGCGUGUGAAACACCCGAGGUUGAGCGAUAAUGUUGCCUUUGCCCUGUAAAAGGUGGUGCAUUGAAGCCGACUAAUAUUGAUACAUUGUGGAUCCAUGUAAUAUGUGCGUGGUUUCGACCGGAGGUUGCUUUUCUAAGCGGUGAAAAGAUGGAACCUGCAGUUGGGCUUUUACGGAUUCCACCCGAUUCAUUUGUUAAGGCAAUAUAAGAGGCGUACAGUAUAGAAAACGAGCAUUUGAAUUCUGGAUAUAGAGAUAGACAAGAACGUCCUAGCGAAUCGGAUCUGGUUGAGAUCCAUGUGGGACCUGCUACAGAUCUUGAUCAUGAAUAUUUCAAUCAUAAGAAGAUGUAAUGUGAUGGUUGUAAUCUUUGGGUACAUGCUUAAUACAAUGAAAUUUCAAGCAAUCACUUCACGGAUCCGGAAAACAAUGAAUAUUACUUCCCAGAAUGCAAGGGUCAGUUUUCAUUUGACCAAUCGGUUGUAGACGAAAGUCAAUCUAAAGUCAGCAGUUGUACAGAAAGCAAUGACCAGAUUACACUUCCUGACAAAAUAGUUGUCGUCUGUAUGGACGUUGAAGGCAUUUACUAUCCAAAUCUUCAUCUGAUUCAGUGUAAGUGUGGUUCAUGUGGGACCAGGAAGCAAACUCCAUCCAAAUGGGAACGGCAUACUGGUUCCAGAGCAAAUGAAAACUGUUGAAGAAGAUAGCACUUUAAUAAUGGCUUCCGUUAAUUUAAGUAUUAUUUGUUUUUUUACUAAUGAGAUUAGUCACCUUUACUAAGAAGGGUAUGAAGAUUGGUAUAACAAUCGCAUUAUAGAUGACGAGUGUUGUAAUCUACUUUGGAGUUUAUCUCUAACCUACUUUAGAGUUGAGUUUAUCAAUAAUUAUAUAUCUAAUUUAUGUUAUUCUUACUUUUGAUGCGUUA